CCCAGAGAAAGCAGCGGGCAGCCCGCGGAGGGUACACCACGUCCUUGCCGGGAGUAAACACUCUCGGUGCAAAGUCUGCAGCGUUUGUUGACUGGGCGGUGGGGGCUGCUCAUCAAAGGCGGCCCAGCGCCCUGCGGGCCAUUGCGGGCGGUGAGCUUUGGUCGGAGGCUCGUUGAUAAGCAGGGAGGACGUGUGAUCCCGGCCCGGGAGGGGCUCGGGCAGGAGGCGCCUCCCCCGCGGUCCGCUCCCGGAGCACCGGCUGCCCCGGUGCUGCCCAGGGACAAGGCCGACAGGCCGGCUCUGCCUCGCCGCCGCCUGAGGGAGGGUCUGUGUCCUCGCUGAGCCCAGCGCCCCCGCACGGGUCUCUCCAGGCUCAGCACCAGCCCCGGAGCCUGGGGGCUGGUGCUGCUUCUAAGACCCCAGGGGCAGAAGGCGGGGCCUUCAGGGAACCCAGGAUUCAAGAACCCUUCCAGGCACCCUCCUCCACCGCGGAGGCGGAAGGUGGCUUCCUUCUAGAAUCUGCGAUCACAGCUUCUGGGGACCGCCAGAUCCCCGCCCCGCAAGUCUGAGCGUCAGGCAGAUUCUUUACCAGAAGCCCAUUCUGUCUGAUACUGAAGGUCUAAAACAGAACAUUACAGGCAAACCGAGCUGGUUGAUCACCCCAGUUAGUUCCCGGCCCACCUUGAGAGUAGGAGAGAGUGCCUUUCAUCCUGAGACCAGCAAGAGGGGCUUCAAGGACCCAGGCGAACAGGCGUCUCCUGCUGCUGGCUCCACGCUGGAUGCAUUAAAGGCCAAGGUCAUCCCUGUUGCUGCCCAGCUGGCUGUGGAACUGGACCGGUGGCUGUGUUUUCCGGAUGACUGGGCAAAGGUGUGCGCCCUGGUGGGUCAGGAACCAUCCAAGAAGUACCUAAGGCCCAGCAGAGAGCCUGAAAGAGAGAGAUAUGCACUCGGAAUCCCCCAAUCCUGGAGGGUCCCAGUCCCCUCCCGCCCUCCCUCCCGGAGGAGGACGGCAGAGGCCCAGCUGGCCUCCCCCGCUGUGGUUCCACUGCUGCUCGAAGCCUAGUGGAGCUGGAGGAGGGGAGAAGCCGUGACUGGGAAUAAACCUUCGUUUUGAUCAUUAAACCAGAACUGGAGUUGUAAUUCCUAAGCGGACACGGCCCUGGGACUAGAAGGGACCGGAGGAUUUACUGCCCAUGAGAGCGACCGGAGAGGUGUGGCAGCUGCCCAGGGGUCCAUCCAGCUGCUGGGGAAGGUCUCCGCCUCACCCCGAUCUCCUGUGUGUUUAGCUAAGGGCCCGUGGUGGAUGUGGCUCUCAACAGAGGCCAGGUG
ensembl:lncRNA